GAUGUCAUCUGAAGGGACCUGGACAGACUGGAGAAGUGGACCCAAGUGAAACUCAAGAACUUAUCUGCUCAGACAGAUAAUGACAGGACAAGGGGGAAUGGUUUUAAACUAAAAGAGGGGAGAUUUAGAUUAGAGGGUAGUAGGAAAUUCUUCACUCAGAGAGUAGUGAGGCACUGGAACAGGUUGCCCAGAGAAGCUGUAGAUGCCCCAUCCCUGGGGCAUUCAAGAAUGAGUUGUACAAGGCCCUAGGCAACCUGAUCUAGUGGGUGGCAACCCUGCCCAUGGCCAGGUGUUGGAUCUAGGUGGUCUUUAGGUCCCCCCAACCCAAGUCAUUCUACGAUUCUAUGGUUCCAUGAUUCAUGUGGGAAAUUGAAAACCAGAGGCAUUGCACCCAUUGCUGUAGGUAUAUUGCAGCUGCUGGCUUUGUGAAAUUGAUGGGAAAAAUCCCUUAUCACAACAGAAGGCAACAUAACUGGAAAUGAAACAUUCAGUUUGGUGAAGAGAGUGGAAAUAACAGUGAUACUGCUGAAUAGCACAUCAAAGGUAUGGGAAUAAACUGGCCAAUAUGGAUAUGUUUCAUCUUUCCCUUAAAAAAUGUUUUCAAAGACGAGAGCUAUAUGUGGAACUGGAAUUAUUUUAAUUUUGCAGGGUCAUCAGGAUGAUGGAAAUACAGGCUGAAACAGCUUCUUAUCUUUAUACUCUUGGAAGAACUGUGCAAUAUCCAAUAGCUAGCCAUGGUCAAAAGAAAAAGGACUAGAUCUUGGGGUGAAUUUCAAAUCACUUAAAGCCACAUUUCUAGUGCUUUGCUAGUGUAAAGAUGUGGCCAUCCACUUACUGGACUUUCAGAAGUCCUACUGAAAAGCCUACUAGCUGUCCCUCUGCAGCUUUCAGAAUAAUUGUUUGCAGUGGAUCUCAAUGCUUUACAAAUAUGUGUAAAAUCUGGCCCAUAGUGAUUCCUUAUGACAGAUUCCUAUUUGUAAACUAAAGAUAGUAGCCACAAAAAGUUAUGGAAUUAAGUACAUUAAAGGUUAGUAUGGUAGGAGCCACAGAAGGCACCGAAAUAGGUCAGCUGGACCACUGCAUUUUGCAUGUUUUCUGAAGCUGUGCUCAGAGAUGCUUGAAGUCCCCUGGUUGCGUGAAGCUGUCUGUAAUGUUACUAACAGAGAAGAGGCAGAAGAAGGGUGUCACACAAGAAAAGAGGAAAAAGCAGGGAGAAAAGAGAGGGGUUUCACAGAGGUCACCAGACCAUGCCCUGUUUGGCUAAGAAGAGCCACCUCCAGCUGGCUGGCGUUAAGCAGGCUGGGCAGGAUGCUGGGGGUCAUCUCCUGCAUGCAGCACUGAGGGUGGCAUACCAGCAAUACCUCCAUCUUCUCCUCCAGUCUGUCACAGUGCUGGGCUCAGCACUGGGCUUUGCUUUGUAUGUUGCUGGGUUUUGUUGUUUUACAGAUGUAUGUAAAUUCAGUGCUAAUUUACUUGAAUUUUGCCUACUGUAACCAAAUGAUGUACCAAUGGACUCUUGACUAGAAAACGCAUAAGGGGUGCUUUGUUUGAUGGCACCUUGUUAGGAGUAACCUGCCCUUAUUCAUGCAGAAAUACUGUCUUGCAACAUAGAGGAGGACAGACAACGAUCAGUGUAGCUCUGAAUAAAAAAAAAAAAAAAAAAAGAGAGAGAGAGAGAGAAACAAAACAAAAACCUAUGUAUGAAUAAAAUGGGAUUGCAGAAACGGCUGUACUUUUUAAUGUAAGGGUUUAAAACUAACUAGUAUAAUAACCUCUGGCAGGAAGGAGCUUAGUACAUGCCAAUUCAUCCUGUCUUUCUAUGACUGCAGACUGAGAACACAUACCCCACGAAUUUACCCAUGAGAUUAGCUGCAAGAGUGUUAAAGCUUUAUCUUCUUGUUGCUAUUUCUGAGAAAUGUUUAUAUCUGCCAGCACAUCUCUCUAUAAAUAGCCUCAUUUCCAGUGAUAGCCCAGGAAUUCUGAGAGUUACAUUUUGCAGCUGUACAUGGUAAACUUUGCUUGAUUUGCUCAUAGUCCAAAUGGUUACGAAGCCAAUGCAGAAUGUCACCAAAGCUGGUGGCUUCCAGUCUCCAGGCCGGCUCAGUCCAGGCCUCCAAGGUGGCCAUCAGGUGCUGCUCUCUCUUCCACAAGGCUGGCCAUCAAACCAUUCAAAGAACACAUUGGCACCACCUGUGCCUUGUUCCAGGAGGAGUUUUGGCUACAAAUUUCACAAGCUUUAACACGAACAUUAAAAUAGCAGUAGUCUAAAGGAAGUUAUUAUUGCAUAGAAAAGCUUGCUCCUGACAAAAGCAUUGCUUGCUUGUUGGAGACCUAGCAGUUCCUUAGGAAUCUGUUUUAUUACAGUGAAACAUCGUCUGUGUGGCAGCAAAGUACUCUGGAGCAGGUGUAAGCAAAGUGAACCUAAGUGUGAAAAGAGAAUUUAAGCUUUGAGCCUGAAAAGUGGGUCUUGCAGAAGUCUGAUCAUGGAAGUCACAUGGGAUUUAGAAACUGCAGAUGAGUAUGGCACCAAGAUAGACCACUGUCUACUGCAGCCUGGACUGAGAUAGUCACUCUCAUGAUAAAUGUAAUUACAAAUGUGUUCCAUCUCCCAGGAUUGUAUCCAAAUGAAAAACAGAAGUCUCAACUGAGAUGGAGUGGAAAACUCCUGAGCAGAGGCAGUUCUACAUUUUGUGACCAAUACGGGAAGUGAAGGUUGAAGCUGUAAGGCCCUGAAGCAGGGCGAAAAUUUGCUUCCAGACAUGACUCUUUUAAAAGAUUUUGAAAUUCAGAGAUGCUUUGCACACAGGAUGAGAGAAGAUAUUGAAGACCAAGAAGUUUGCAUGGAAAAAAAAACCAUGGUGUUUAGUGGUAAAAGGGAAUUAAGCCAUGUCCUUAAGGUGUGCCCUCCUCAGAGCUCAACCUUCAUAUCAGCUGUACGGUGCAGCAGGAAGACAGAUUCUGUAGCCCUGUCUGGACUCAAACUGGCAUGUUUUGAUUGAACUGCUACAAACAGAUUUCAUUAAAGCAUUUCAAAUGUAUGGGUAGAAAAGCCCAAAAUUAAAUUCAAAAGGCAUUAAAUAAAAUACACCUAAGUGAGAAUGUACCAAUAAAAGGUACUCAUUUGUCUUCA